rnacentral:rRNA from 1 species
GAUUAAGUUAUUAAGGGCGCACGGUGGAUGCCUUGGCACUAGAAGCCGAAGAAGGACGUUACUAACGACGAUAUGCUUUGGGUAGCUGUAAGUAAGCGUUGAUCCAGAGAUUUCCGAAUGGGGGAACCCAACAUGAGUUAUGUCAUGUUAUCGACAUGUGAAUUCAUAGCAUGUCAGAAGGCAGACCCGGAGAACUGAAACAUCUUAGUACCCGGAGGAAGAGAAAGAAAAAUCGAUUCCCUGAGUAGCGGCGAGCGAAACGGGAAGAGCCCAAACCAACAAGCUUGCUUGUUGGGGUUGUAGGACACUCUAUACGGAGUUACAAAAGAACAUGUUAGACGAAUCAUCUGGAAAGAUGAAUCAAAGAAGGUAAUAAUCCUGUAGUCGAAAACAUAUUCUCUCUUGAGUGGAUCCUGAGUACGACGGAGCACGUGAAAUUCCGUCGGAAUCUAGGAGGACCAUCUCCUAAGGCUAAAUACUCUCUAGUGACCGAUAGUGAACCAGUACCGUGAGGGAAAGGUGAAAAGUACCCCGGAAGGGGAGUGAAAGAGAACUUGAAACCGUGUGCUUACAAGUAGUCAGAGCCCGUUUAUGGGUGAUGGCGUGCCUUUUGUAGAAUGAACCGGCGAGUUACGAUCUGAUGCAAGGUUAAGCAGCGAAUGUGGAGCCGUAGCGAAAGCGAGUCUGAAUAGGGCGUUGAGUAUUUGGUCGUAGACCCGAAACCAGGUGAUCUACCCUUGGUCAGGUUGAAGUUCAGGUAACACUGAAUGGAGGACCGAACCGACUUACGUUGAAAAGUGAGCGGAUGAACUGAGGGUAGCGGAGAAAUUCCAAUCGAACUUGGAGAUAGCUGGUUCUCUCCGAAAUAGCUUUAGGGCUAGCCUCAAGUGAUGAUUAUUGGAGGUAGAGCACUGUUUGGACGAGGGGCCCCUCUCGGGUUACCGAAUUCAGACAAACUCCGAAUGCCAAUCAAUUUAACUUGGGAGUCAGAACAUGGGUGAUAAGGUCCGUGUUCGAAAGGGAAACAGCCCAGACCACCAGCUAAGGUCCCAAAAUAUAUGUUAAGUGGAAAAGGAUGUGGCGUUGCCCAGACAACUAGGAUGUUGGCUUAGAAGCAGCCAUCAUUUAAAGAGUGCGUAAUAGCUCACUAGUCGAGUGACACUGCGCCGAAAAUGUACCGGGGCUAAACAUAUUACCGAAGCUGUGGAUUGUCCUUCGGACAAUGGUAGGAGAGCGUUCUAAGGGCGUUGAAGCAUGAUCGCAAGGACAUGUGGAGCGCUUAGAAGUGAGAAUGCCGGUGUGAGUAGCGAAAGACGGGUGAGAAUCCCGUCCACCGAUUGACUAAGGUUUCCAGAGGAAGGCUCGUCCGCUCUGGGUUAGUCGGGUCCUAAGCUGAGGCCGACAGGCGUAGGCGAUGGAUAACAGGUUGAUAUUCCUGUACCACCUAGUAUCGUUUUAAUCGAUGGGGGGACGCAGUAGGAUAGGCGAAGCGUGCUGUUGGAGUGCACGUCCAAGCAGUAAGGCUGAGUGUUAGGCAAAUCCGGCACUCGUUAGGCUGAGCUGUGAUGGGGAGAGGAAAUUGUUUCCUUGAGUCGUUGAUUUCACACUGCCGAGAAAAGCCUCUAGAUAGAUAACAGGUGCCCGUACCGCAAACCGACACAGGUAGUCAAGAUGAGAAUUCUAAGGUGAGCGAGCGAACUCUCGUUAAGGAACUCGGCAAAAUGACCCCGUAACUUCGGGAGAAGGGGUGCUCUUUAGGGUUCACGCCCAGAAGAGCCGCAGUGAAUAGGCCCAAGCGACUGUUUAUCAAAAACACAGGUCUCUGCUAAACCGUAAGGUGAUGUAUAGGGGCUGACGCCUGCCCGGUGCUGGAAGGUUAAGAGGAGUGGUUAGCUUCUGCGAAGCCACGAAUCGAAGCCCCAGUAAACGGCGGCCGUAACUAUAACGGUCCUAAGGUAGCGAAAUUCCUUGUCGGGUAAGUUCCGACCCGCACGAAAGGCGUAACGAUUUGGGCACUGUCUCAACGAGAGACUCGGUGAAAUCAUAGUACCUGUGAAGAUGCAGGUUACCCGCGACAGGACGGAAAGACCCCGUGGAGCUUUACUGUAGCCUGAUAUUGAAAUUCGGCACAGCUUGUACAGGAUAGGUAGGAGCCAUUGAAACGUGAGCGCUAGCUUACGUGGAGGCGUUGGUGGGAUACUACCCUAGCUGUGUUGGCUUUCUAACCCGCACCACUUAUCGUGGUGGGAGACAGUGUCAGGCGGGCAGUUUGACUGGGGCGGUCGCCUCCUAAAAGGUAACGGAGGCGCUCAAAGGUUCCCUCAGAAUGGUUGGAAAUCAUUCACAGAGUGUAAAGGCAUAAGGGAGCUUGACUGCGAGACCUACAAGUCGAGCAGGGUCGAAAGACGGACUUAGUGAUCCGGUGGUUCCGCAUGGAAGGGCCAUCGCUCAACGGAUAAAAGCUACCCCGGGGAUAACAGGCUUAUCUCCCCCAAGAGUUCACAUCGACGGGGAGGUUUGGCACCUCGAUGUCGGCUCAUCGCAUCCUGGGGCUGUAGUCGGUCCCAAGGGUUGGGCUGUUCGCCCAUUAAAGCGGUACGCGAGCUGGGUUCAGAACGUCGUGAGACAGUUCGGUCCCUAUCCGUCGUGGGCGUAGGAAAUUUGAGAGGAGCUGUCCUUAGUACGAGAGGACCGGGAUGGACAUACCUCUGGUGUACCAGUUGUCGUGCCAACGGCAUAGCUGGGUAGCUAUGUAUGGACGGGAUAAGUGCUGAAAGCAUCUAAGCAUGAAGCCCCCCUCAAGAUGAGAUUUCCCAACUUCGGUUAUAAGAUCCCUCGAAGAUGACGAGGUUAAUAGGUUCGAGGUGGAAGCGUGGUGACACGUGGAGCUGACGAAUACUAAUCGAUCGAAGACUUAAUCAA